CCUACGGGCGGCAGCAGUGGGGAAUAUUGCGCAAUGGGCGAAAGCCUGACGCAGCGACGCCGCGUGAGGGAUGAAGGUCUUAGGAUCGGAAACCUCUGUCAGCAGGGAAGAACGGUCACUGUGCUAAUCAGCAGUGAAUUGACGGUACCUGCAAAGGAAGCACCGGCUAACUCCGUGCCAGCAGCCGCGGUAAUACGGCGGGUGCGAGCGUUAAUCGGAAUUACUGGGCGUAUAGCGUUCGUAGGCGGUAUGUCAAGUCAAGGGUGAAAUCCCCGCGCUCAACGUGGGAACUGCCUUUGAAACUGGCAAACUGGAGUGUGUGAGAGGAUAGUGGAAUUCCAGGUGUAGGAGUGAAAUCCGUAGAUAUCUGGAGGAACAUCAGUGGCGAAGGCGACUAUCUGGCACAUAACUGACGCUGAUGAGCGAAAGCGUGGGUAGCAAACAGGAUUAGAUACCCAAGUAGUC
rnacentral:rRNA from 1 species